rnacentral:lncRNA from 10 species
AGCUUCCAGUGAGAACUCAUGGAGCUUUUAUUCAUGGUAGAAAGCAAAGUGGGAGCCAGCAUGUCACAUGGUGAGAGAGAAAACAAGAGAGAGAGGAGGGAAGUGCUACACUCUUUUAACAAUCAGAUCUUGUGUGAACUCAAAGUAAGAAUGCACUCAUUAUCAUUAGGACAGCACCAAACCAUUCAUGCUCCCGACCGCCCACCCACCAGCUCCUAGGGGGAUGCAGGGCAGCCAGUUAAGGCCCUCUAGGGCAUGAGAGACUCAGAUAACACUAGAAACACCAGCUGCAUUGGAACAGAUGGUUGAUAUUGGAGAAGACAAAGUUGGAAAACUAGAUAGAAAAUCUGGAAUGCUGAGGUUAGGGGACAUUACCCUGAUGUACUGAUGUACUGAGGAUGAGGGCUGUUAAGUGUUUUAGGCAGGAUGCACACUGAAGACCAAAGAAGGAAUCCCAGAUCUUGACCAUGUCACCUUCCUGGGCUUUAAUAGCCUCGUCUGUAAAAUGCGAAUAACAAUGCAUGAUUUUCCUGUUUCAUAGGAGUGUUCUCAGGGUCAGCAUGAGAACAAAUUGAGAUAACGUAAGUGAAGGUGUUUUGUAAACCUUUCACGAAAGUAUAAAAUGGUGUUUUAAGAUAAUUAGGUUGUAAUGUGAUGGGUCUAUACACUCACAGCCCUCAAGGAUGGGGUAGAGAACAUUUAAUGUGGCUUGAAACUGUUAGGGCAAGAGAAUGAGAAAAUCCAUAGAUAUAUUACAAAAUAAACCAGGUGGCAUGAACUUAUUGCUUUUGAAAUAAAGGGUAAUACUCCAGGUAGAUUAUUACCUUUUACUGUGAAUGGAAAGAUCUUGAGGAAGACCGGGAAGAAGAUGAGAAAUAUUAAUCCUGAAGGCCCCUGAAUGUUUCCAGAGGUCUUUCUUCCCAAACCAGAUGGCAAAUGAAUUAGAUUCUCUGUGAGUUGUAGAAUAUUAAAUUUUAUAACCAAACCAAAUUGAUGUCUUAUGCCUGGAACCUAUGCACUAGUGAGUCUACUGGGAACAGCUUAGAUUAUCUUCACUACUGAUUCAUGAAAAAGGUUUUGGCAAAUGGUCUCAGGCAAGGAAUGAAGCCAGGAACAGCAUUUGUCAUACCAGAUGGGCUGACUCACCCUUUGGAUAGAAAAGUUCACCUGUCUUAUUCUAAAAACUACCCUUUGCUCUCUUAAAUGGACCAGGGACAUUUGUCAUAUUCUAUAUUGAUGAACAAGUCUUGUUUAUCCAGUGUCUAUGAGCUUCUGGGACGCUUAAGUUUGGUGCUAAGUAUUACCUAUCAAGCUGGAUUUUUGGAGAAACUUAAUGAAAACUCAUGUGGACAUCUAAAGU